rnacentral:rRNA from 1 species
UUUAAUUGUUGCUUCGGCGGGACUUCGCGCCCGCCGGGGACCCAAACCUUCUGAAUUUUUUAAUAAGUAUCUUCUGAGUGGUUUAAAAAAAAUGAAUCAAAACUUUCAACAACGGAUCUCUUGGUUCUGGCAUCGAUGAAGAACGCAGCGAAAUGCGAUAAGUAAUGUGAAUUGCAGAAUUCAGUGAAUCAUCGAAUCUUUGAACGCACAUUGCGCCCGUCAGUAUUCUGGCGGGCAUGCCUGUUCGAGCGUCAUUACGCCCCUCAAGUCCCCUGUGGACUUGGUGUUGGGGAUCGGCGAGGCUGGUUUUCCAGCACAGCCGUCCCUUAAAUUAAUUGGCGGUCUCGCCGUGGCCCUCCUCUGCGCAGUAGUAAAGCACUCGCAACAGGAGCCCGGCGCGGUCCACUGCCGUAAAACCCCCCAACUUUUUAUAGUUGACCUCGAAUCAGGUAGGACUACCCGCUGAACUUAAGC